UGCUCAUCCAGAUACUUAUCAUAGGAAUCAGCCCAGUUUUCUGCAGAAGUCCCUCCAAAACCUCCUUCGCUAAGCUGCUGCCCAAAUUCGUCCCCCCAGUCCUGGACUUUAAAUUCUGAGAACUGCCUGAUCCAAUCAAGAUUAACCUCCGGUUUCUGUUCUCCAGAAAACUCAUUCACCCACUUCUCUGUUCCUUGAGACAGAUCUUCAUGUGCAAACUGUUCCACCCAAGAAUUUGAGUUGACAUUAUACUGUGACUGAUAUUCUUCAGCCCAGCCACCUGAAAGGG
rnacentral:misc_RNA from 1 species